rnacentral:rRNA from 1 species
CAGCACUAAGUGGGUGGUAAACUCCAUCUAAAACUAAAUAUAACCAUGAGACCGAUAGCAAACAAGUACCGUGAGGGAAAGUUGAAAAGAACUCUGAAUAGAGAGUUAAAUAGUACGUGAAACUGCAUAGAGGUUAAGCCCGAUGAACCUGAAUAUCCAUUAUAGAAAAUUCAUCAUCAGUAAAAUAUUAUAACUUGUUAUAAUAUAUAAUGGUGUGCACUUUUUCUAUUUAAGGACAUUGUAAACUGUUAAUGUUUAAAUGCGUAUUAUAAGAGCUUUUACAUAAGUUUAUUCAUUUUUUAAAGUUUUUAAUUUUAAAUGGAAUAAAUGUGAAUGUUUCGAAUAUGCCAUUGACAGAUUUAUUAUAUAUAAUACAAGAAUUAAAUUUUAAUUCUAUAAUAAUAUGUUUAUCAUUGAUUUAUGUAUUCAUUAUAUGUAUUUAUAUGAUUAACAAUGCGAAAGAUUCAGGAUACCUUCGGGACCC